UCUCCGUUGGUGAACCAGCGGAGGGAUCAUUACCGAAGUUACCUUCAAAACCCACUGUGAACCCUACCUCUUGCCGCGUUGUCUCGGCGGGAGGCGGUGUGCGUCGCGCGCCCUAGCGGCCGCGCCGCUCCCGUCCCCGCCGGCAGCGCCAAACUCUAAAUGCACAGCGGACUGUACGUUCUGGUUUACAAAAAAAAACAAGUUAAAACUUUCAACAACGGAUCUCUUGGUUCUG
rnacentral:misc_RNA from 1 species